rnacentral:tRNA from 1 species
GGGGGUAUAGCUCAGUUGGUAGAGUGCUUGCCUUGCAUGCACAAGGCCCUGGGUUCAAUCCCCAGCACCACCA